rnacentral:rRNA from 1 species
AUGGAGCGAUGUCCCGACUGCCCAUGUAGCGCGCCACUGAUACGGUUGACUUCGGAGGAGGUCAAGAAUGGCAACUAUGGGCGCGAGUUCCUUAAAUGCGAGAGCAAGCCAGUGGGGCAGAUCAUGAAGAAAUGCACACAUUUUGAAUGGUUGGAUGACUACGUUAAGCGGAUUCAAUUCAAUGGGUCCCCAACCUAG